rnacentral:rRNA from 1 species
ACGCGAAAACUUUACAAUGCUGGCAACAGCGAUAAGGGAACCUCGAGUGCCAGGUUACAAAUCUGGCUGUCGUGAUGCCUAAAAAGCAUUGCAUAGCAAGGGCCGGGCAAGACCGGUGCCAGCCGCCGCGGUAACACCGGCGGCUCGAGUGGCAACCGUUAUUAUUGGGUCUAAAGGGUCUGUAGCCGGCCGGAUAAGUCUCUUGGGAAAUCUGGCAGCUCAACUGUCAGGCUUUCAGGAGAUACUGUCUGGCUCGAUGCCGGGAGAGGUGAGAGGUACUUCAUGGGUAGGGGUGAAAUCUUGUAAUCCUUGAAGGACCACCAGUGGCGAAGGCGUCUCACCAGAACGGACCUGCCGGCAAGGGACGAAAGCUAGGGGCACGAACC